rnacentral:tRNA from 1 species
AGGCGUCGCGUAGUGGCCGAGCGCGCCGGCUUGAAAAGCCGGUGAGGGUGGAAAUCCUCCGUGGGUUCGAAUCCCACCGCCUGGCCA